rnacentral:lncRNA from 1 species
GUCAGAACUCAACCUCAUGGCUCCACCUCCCCUACUUCCUCCAGGGGUGAACCAGGUGUUGGACUGCACCAGCAGCGGUGGCUUUGGAGGCAACGAUGGCUUCCUCUACCUGACCCUGUCAGCCAUGCCCCUGGGAGGAAUUGGUAACAGCGGGAUGGGCCGGUACCAUGGCAAAUUCUCCGACACCUUCUCCCACCAUGGUGCCUGCCUGCUGCACGGCCCAGGGAUGGAGAGGCUUAAUGACCUCCGCUACCCGCCCUGUAGUCCCUGGAGCCAGCAACUGACAAGCUGGACUAUAGGUUCCCAGAGCAGCACCCUUCUUGUAAAUGCCACCGACUCCAGCAGGUCCCCAAGCCCUCCUUCUGUGGCUCAGUCCCUGAACUACCCUGAGCUGCCAGCUGCUCCCAGGUCUCUCCAGUUCCCAAAAGGCAGGUGUCCCACCCAACAUGUUGAACACCUCACUUCUGGAGCUUUUCUAGACAGAUCUCCAGCCGGGGAAGGACAUCUAGGUGGCUGGUCCAGUCUUUCUUCAUACCAGAGUCCCCUUGGCAGCCUCCUGACUGACCCUAGAAGCCCCCUCCUCAAGGCUGGCAGGACCCAUGACUGAGGACUUUCUUUGUUAAAUCUGGGUGUGGUAGCACAUGCCUUUAACCCCAGCACUCAGGAGGCAGAGACAGACAAAUCUCUGUGUGUUCAAGACCACCUUGGUCUACAUAGCAAGCUCCAGGCCAGCCAGGGCUACAUAGUGAAACCCUGUCUCAGCCCUCUCCCCCUGUCCUCCCUCCUCCCCCAAAAGACAGAGCAGCAGCUCACAGCUCCAUCUACACCUGGAGGGUGGGUCUGUCCAACUGGGAGUGAUGUAAUCUUGGACCCAGAUUGGAUUAACUGGUGGACUCUGCCUGUGGUGUGCUACAUUAGUUACUUAAACCAUCCGUGUUCAAAUGGCCUGACAGAGAACUUCAAGAUUUCCUUUCAGAUCUCGGUUUCAGGGGUUCAGUCCACCAUAGCACAGCAAGUCAUGACAGAACAGCUGAGUUCAUAGCACGGAGGACCAGGAAACAGUGCAAUAGUUAAGUUGCAGGUCACCAAAAACUUUCUGAUGCUACAUGUGGAAUCAAUAGGAAGGAAAGCAUGGUUGAUUAGUCAUGUCUGCUCUGGGCCCAGGGAGGAGUGUAUGCAUGUUUUGGCCACAAGAGAGCUAGAAUACAAAACGUGAGACUUCACCUGAGACAUGAAACUGAGGGCCGGAGCCAAGAUAAGGUUAGGCUGAGUUCACAGGGGAGAGCAGGGACAGAGCUGAGGGACUGUGGACUUUACUGAGAAAUAAGGGGCUGGGUAGACAGCACGCCUGGUCCCCGGACCGGCCUCUUGCUCUUCCCCAGUCUCCGCCCUUGGAUCCACCUUCAGUUUCCGGCCUUGGUUCAAUGGACUCCUCAUCCUUAGAGUCAUGGGAAAUCCAGGCUUGUGGCCAAGUCUGAGAAAAUUAAAACAAAUACGGUCUUCCGGUUCCCUUGGGAAUUGUGGGUAACGAGUUUUCCAAAAGGGCCCAUAGGGGACAGAGCAGAGGCACAAAACAGGGACUCACCGAUGGAUGAAAGAGAGAGCAAACAAGGGAGAGGAGGCGUGGAUGGGUGCACGGAUGAUGGCUGGAUGGUGAGGUGAGUGGAUGGAGAGAUGAAGAGACUGGAUGGUAGGUCACAGGUGAGUGGGCAGGUGAGUGGCAGCGAGCAGAUUUGGGACCUCGUCUCAGGAUUCUAGUGGAGUCUGGGGUCAAAUCAAGCCAUGGAUGCUGGCUCCAGCCUGGUCAUCACUCAUGUCAUCAUUCAUGGUCCAGAGUGGACAAUAAGAAAAUUGACAGUACAGGUUAAUCCUCCCACUCCCCACCUCAGGAC